CAGGAGACUGCAAAGUGGUCGUCACAUGUAUCUCACUGGAAACUGAAUGGAACCAGUACCUGUUGAGUGAGUCAGGAGACUGUAAAUGGAGAAGUGCUGUGUUCACACUUAAUUUUCACAUGUACCACUCCUAGUCACAUCCUGCCUUUCUCUGCCACUGGUGUAAUGAAAUCAUGGUCUUUGGAAUGACAACUACUGGUUGCAGAAGGAAUGGAGUUCUGUUUCAACUUCAGGAUGACCUGGAAAUGGAUCACCUCUAGAGCAUCAUCCAGACAGAAUUUAGCCCUCCUUAACUGGACUAUGUGUUUUCCCUGCCUGGAAAGAAGAUUUUUGAGGUAAUCUUCACAAUUUACAGCUUGUUUGAGCAAUUCCUGGAGUGUUUUCACCAGAAAAAGGACAGUCCAAGACUCAGUAAAGUUCUUCUGAUCCCACUUUCAGAGAGGGAACCAAAAAUAGUGACUGUGUGAUCAUGUACUCUGAAAAGGUUGCAACUGAAGACAUAGCCACAUGGUUGUCUUUUCAUUGUACCUUUUUACGAAGCAUGGAAAUGAGGGACGAGGAUGGAAUUAGAACUGGGGCCAGGUGUUUUUAUGUGCGGCUGAGGAGAGAAGUUAACGCAGAUUGACUUCACCACCUGCCUUCCACCAUCCAGCUGGGACCAAUUAGGGGCCAUGUGUUUUAUGCUGGGCAACCAAAGACCUGCAGGAAGUGUGGCUGUUCAUCUCACCUUGUAGCCAACUGCAGUGCCACCCUCUGUAGAAACUGCAGAAGUACAGCCCACAACACAGACAUGGUGACCGGCCUAUGAAAUGAAACCUCUACGGGCAGAGCCAGCCCUCCCUAUAAGCGAAUUAAGCGGCUGCUUAGGGCCCCGCGGCCACUAGGGGCCCCCCAGAUGGAUGCAUGGUAAACUGAAUUGACUGUCUCACACCUGCGCAGACCUGGCAACCCCCUUAUUUACAAUAAACUGCAACCUACUUGUUCAUAGGGAGGAAUGUGAGGAUAUUCAUGUUUGCUUAAUAAAAAUCUGGCAACGAUGACUAUUGAGUCAACAUCAAUCGUCAACAUGCAUAACGUGACCUGUAGCAGGGUGGGGACCCUACGGACUGGGGGCAGGUGCCGUUCACUGAACGGAGCAUGCGGAGUACUGCAUACGAAGAUGUUGAGGCGGGCAUAUCUCUCAGGAGCGGAGAGAGGAAGAAAAAAAAAGGUCGAAGAGGCAAAUAAACAAGCUUGAGGCAAAUAAACAAGCUCAAGAAGGAGCAAUAUUCAAAUGUUUUGGUGGUGGUGGAACCAGAGAGGAUGAAAGCACUGGGAAGUGAAAAUGUUUUAAAAUUUCUGUUCACUUUGUUGUCAUCUUGUUCGUGGAUGUUACCUGGUGUAAUUGCUUAUGUUUUAUCUACUCUUAAUGUUAUGCAUGCAGCUGGAGAUGACAAUACUCCAACUCCUGGUUCAUCCACAGAGGACACAUCAACAGAUGUUCCUGGCCCAUCAUCAUCCCACACUGAAGCUGACUCAUCUUCAGCCCCUGGGACUGGUUCCAGUGAUGCAUUUGAUCCAGGUAAAACUGCUGAUCAAAGUCACCCAACAUCUAUUCUUCAGUGAGUGAGUGUAGUAGUAAACUACGGCCCAUCAUGUUAAUAGAGGUAGGGCCCCCGGAGCUUAUCCUGCUCAGGGCCCCCAGAUGUCCAGGGCUGGCCCUGUCUGCAGGAGCCUUCACCAUCGGAGGAACCUCAAGCCCAUCUGUAAUCUACCAGUGAGGCAGACCAGCAGGGAUCAACCCACCAAGACAACAACCCAGAGCAACCUGGAACAGCAGGCUUUCCAGCCCCACAGAUCACCACCUAGAUAGACCUAGACCGACCAACUCCAGGCCCCCAGGAGAUACAGCAUUCCCAGGAGGACCUCCCAGCUGGCCAACCUGGCCCAGUGUCAUCCAAGGACUGUAGAGAUCUCCUAGAUUUUAUGUUGGCAGACUUACCCUCCCCUGAUGGCACUGUCAGCACCCUGCAUCUGGUCAGUCAGGCUCCAGCUGGGGACACAGGUGUGCUUCCCUCCUCCCCUAUGCCCUCAGAUACCCCCCUGGCUGGUACACUAUCUUGAAAGCGGCCCCAGGAGGCAUCAGAGGACUCCUCCAUAUCAGGUCUGGAUCCAGAGGUGUGGUCUGACCCCUUGUCCACCUCUUCCCCUUUUCUAGGCCACUCAAAUGAUUGGUGGCGUAAAAGAGGUGGAGGGGAACUGGACAUCACAAAAGAAGAAGAAAAAGAAAAAAGACAGGUCUCCCCCGAUGGUUUGAGGUUCUCUUUUUCUGUAGACUCUGGAUCUCUCUUACCACGUAAAACCAAUAAUGUCACCCUUUAAGAUUGUCACCAUUAACACCAGAGGCCUAAAUGACCCUGUAAAAUGUCAGUCCGUUUUUCAUUUUUCUACAUAGAGGUGGAGGGGACAUAUUUCUUCUUCAGGAGUGUUCUAUUGCCUUCAAAGAAAAUUACAAACUGUAUGAAAACAGAUGGACACAUGGACAGUCAGUGUGGUCAGAGGACAAUAAAAAUAGAGCUUAAGGGUUGGCAAUCCUUUUCAACCUUUUCAGUUUCACAUCCAGAGGGUUGAGAGGGUUAUAGAUGGAAGACUAAUGUUGGUGGAUAUAGAAGGAGGAGGAACUAGAUUCAGAGUUAUAAAUGUUUACUGCCCCACUGAGACUCAAGAUCGUCAAGUGGUACUACACACCAUUCAAACUUUGAUUCACUGUGGGAAGGAAGUCAUUAUUGGAGAUGACUUAAACUGCAUUGUAGAUAUAGCAGGCAGAAGAUCAACAUCCUCUGUAAAACUUGAUGCCAGUUCGUAUACACUCCAAAACAUUAUUAAGGACUGUAAACUUGAUGCCACCGCAGUUUAUAUUGACUGCUUUUGUGAGAUGCCUGUUAACAACGAAUUUGCUGGUAAUGCCCCGAUACAGCAACCCCACCCAAGCUAUAAACCUCUUUGGGAACCCCAUUUUUUGCAGUACCUGGAAAAGGUACUGGUGUAAACCCGAUCAAAGGCUUUCUCAAAGUCUAAAUAUAGGACUACUAGCUGGAUGUUUCUGUCUCUCGCAUAACUGAUGGCGUCCCAGAUUAGUAUGAGGCUGUUGGUGAACUUCCUCCCCGGGAUGGCACAGGCUUGAUCCGGGUGAAUCAAGUCUUCUAAAAACAAAGUCAUUUGUAAUGAUAAAAGUUUGCUAAAAAGUUUACAGUUAAGAUUUAAAAGCGUGAUAGGUCUCCAGUUCUUUAGGUCAGUCUUGUAUUUGUCUUUGAGUAGAGUCACUAUCCCCAUUCUAAAACUGCCAGGAAGUCGGUCAGGUAUUUCAAAUUCCAUAAAAACAGCGAGUAAGUCAGGUGCUAAAAUGUCCCAAAAAGUCAGAUAAAAUUCCAAGGGAAGCGUAUCUUGUCCUGGAGACUUCUCUGCUUUAAAACUCUUUUUUUUAACUCUAAAAGUGUAAAAUCUUGGGUUAAAAGCACACUGUCCUCCACUCUGUGUUCAGUGAAUUUUAAAACUUCAGUCAUUUCCAAAUAGUUCUUUAUAAAAUGGUUCUAUGUUUGUUUUAAUUUCUUCUGUUGUUUCCGCAGUGCACACAUUUUCUGUUUUCUGUUUUAAAAUGUUCACCCCUUUAUUUACAAUUUUCUGAAAAAGGUGCGCUUCUCCCCUUCUUUUAUCUCCCUUUCCCUGCUUCUUACAAUUACACCCUUGUUUUUCAUUUCUGCUAAAACCGACAUCUCUUUUUUAACUUUUAUUUCUUCUUUAAAAUCUAUCCCUUGUUGGUUUAGGUUAAAAUAUCUCUGAAGUCGUUUUUGCAGUCCCAACAUGAGUCUGUCGUCCCUCUUUUUUUUUCUCUCUCACCUGCCUGUCUAAAGAAAGUCGGGGUCCGUCCCUUCACCAUUUCCCACCAGUGUGCACGUGUAUCGUAAAAGUCUUGAAGGGUCUGCCACUCUCUGUACUGCUCCCUGUACUGUCUAACUCCCUAUCUUCUAGAAGGGAGCAGUUGAUUUUCCACAGACCACUUCCUGAAGUCACACCAGAAGGUAGUGAUAGGGUGAAGGAUAGCAUUGCGUGUUCGGAAAAGAAAACAGGUGUUAAUCUAGCAUCGGCUGGUGGGCAAUCACGGGAUAAAAUGUAAUCUAUGCAAGAGGCUCUGGUGCCAUCAGACUGACCAGACUGCAAGUCUUCUAAAAGGUCAUACCUGUCAUUUUUAUCAUUAAAGCCAUAAAUAUUUAAGAUAUUAAAAUCCUUUCCCAUACAAGUCAAGAGUGCUAAAAGUGCCCGGCCAUUUCUCACCACAGUGCUGCCUUUCACUAAGCCGAGAGGAUUUUUGAUCAAAAUGGCCACUCCAUCAUUUUAGCUUUCAUUUGAUCUGCUCCAGAUUGAUGUUCUUGGCCAUAAAUUCUCCCAUUCUCUGUAGUGGUUUAAAAUGGUAGGCCUCAUUCUUGUAUUAAAAACACAUCUGACUUAAAAGCGUUAAGACAGGAUAAAACAGUCUGAGCUCUAACUCUCGACUUUAUGCUUCUCACAUUGAUAGUAGAGAAGGUGAGAGUCGUAAGUAUGGUUAAAAAUAACAAGUAUGAGAUUUUAAAAGACUAAGAGACACUUUAAUGUUAUAACAAUAUCUUCAAAAAGACAUUUAGUCACAUUUGUGUGAAUGGAGCUCUUCCUUCACUCUAAUGGGUGAAAGGUGACGGGAUCGAACUCCAUUUCCCUUUCGGACUCUUGGAGUUGGUCUCUGACGCAGGUUUGCGUUAAGUUUUGAGUCUUUAGGGGUUGAUUGCAGAGCUAUGGUUAAAAAUUAGACCUCAUUUGGAGAAUCGGAAGGGAAGACUCUGGGUUCCUCCACAGAUGAACUGUCUGAGUAGUAGCUUUUCCCUUCUUCUCUGAAACCACAGGUGAGUCAGAGGACAAUUCUGAUAUAGGCCUCUUGGCCUGCUGGGCAUUGGGGAGGGUAGCAUCCUCACUAUCAAUUUUAUGGUCUGUGCUAGCUCCGCCCUCUGCCUGCAUCACCCCAACCUCUUCCACACUUUUCACUGGUGGGGCGAUUGCAGGCCCCUCCUUUUCUCCCACUUCACCUGAUCCCUGUUCUCCAAUCACAGGAUUUGGCGGGAGAUUUGAAUUUUACAGCCCAGCCUCUUCAAAUAGCUCUGUAAACUCAUCAUUUUGUCUACCAUUCUGUGCAUUUUUUGGUUGCUUCACUGCUUUCAUUUUGUUGGCAAAAGACAUGGGGCAGUCUCUGAAGAGGUGGUUGGUUUCCCCACAGAGAUUGUAUUUUCCGCCAUUGGUACAUUCCUCAAAAGCGUGUCCAUUUUCUCUACAUUUACCACAAAUGAUUUGCUUGCACGCUUCUGCCAGGUGCCCAUAUUCACCACAUUUGCGGCAGAGCUUAGGCAGGCCCUGGUAGUGAAUGUAGCCCCUGUUGUUACCCAGAACUAUCAUUGGUGGCAGCUGUUUCACCACGACAUAGACCUCUGCUUACUGCACUAUUCUACAUUGCACUAAAUCACUGGAUAGGUUUGGCAUCUGGUACGGAGUCAGAAAGUACAAGGUCAAGAUGCACAAAGACAGAACCAAACAAAAUAUUGAAAUACCAAGUUCCAUCUCUCUGGGACCGUACAACAGUCGCAUCAUCUACCCGAGACAAUCAUCCAGCUGCUUCACAAGGCCAAAGACUGUACAGCAGAAGGCUUGUGCAGCCUGUGCAGAGGAACAGGUCACACCUUUUUCGCCUGCUCAAACUGCUAUACUAAUAAAGCAAGAGCACCAAAGCAGCCAGGUCUAUUGCCAACACUGCAGUGGCUGCCCGGCCUGUUGUCAGACGAGCAGCAGCGGACCCUCCAGCCAAUCGCUGAGCAGCCCGACAUUCCACUUGUCCAGCAGCAGCAGCAGCCCAGUAGUCAGCCGGCACACCGUCAGCAGCAGCCCCGCCCUCAGUCUACUGCUCAGCAGCAGCGCUCCAGAGAGUCCACCACCAAGCAGCGCAACUCUAAGAAAGCCCUUCAACAUCAACAUCAGCAGCCCUGCAGCCAGCCAGCAGACCAACCACAACAGCCCCGUCACCAGCACUUGGUCCUACAGCCUGACGGGCUUAAGGUCUGCACAUUCCUGCUUGAUGACAAGCCUACAUCUUAGGACUGACAUCAACUCUUACCAUGAAUUUUCUUAAAGAUGCCACCUGGAAUGCUCGUGGUAUUCAGACGAUGUCAUUAAGAAAGGACAAAAUUGAAUAUCUACUUAAUACUGACUUUGACAUCUUAUGUACUCAAGAACUGAGACUGAAUACGAACAAUGAUGUUGAUGAUGUUAGUAAAUUGUGGCAAAAAGAGAAAUGUGUAAUAUCUGUAGGUGAAAGUAAAGCUGAUGGUGUUGGUAUAUUUUUCAGAAAUCAUGAUGUUAACAUAAUUAGAAGAAGAGAUAUUAUCUCAGGGAAGACUACUGAUGCUGGAUUGUUAUUAUCGGUGAAAAAUAUACUACUACUAACCUGUAUACUGCGCCAGAUGCUUGUAAGAAAGUCCAGUUAUUUAAAAGACUUAGAGAAUUGAUAUUGGUUGGAUAUAGAAUUAUUUUAUGUGGAGAUUUUAAUACAGUAACGGAUGAAAAUGACAGGUGCAGCACAACAGCAUUUAAACUGAGCCCAGAAGGUAAACUCUUAGAAAUCUGUAAUGAAGCUAAGUUGAUAGAUGUAUGUAGAGCUGUUCAUCCUUCUGGACUUUAUUUUACAAGGUUUGACACUAAAACCAAAACUCGAAUAGAUAGAAUUUAUGUGUCUUCACAUUUUAAAACUCAUUAUUCAACUGUUUUUAAUGACUUCUCUGAUCACUUCGUAGUGAAAACCUAUCAGUCAUGUGGAACCUCCACUAACAGAGGUUUCUGGAAACUAAAUACUCAGUGUUUAAAACAUACAGAUUUAUUAAUAGAACUGAAACAACAAUACAACUAAAAACUCUAACCAAAUCUGAUAUAAAUUAUGGGAAAUAUUAAAACAUAGAAUAAAAGAUUUCUUUAAAUACAAAUGUAGACAAAUAAAUGUAGUUAAAAAUAUAAAUUAUGAUACAUUAAUGAAGAAAUAUAUUAGUCUUAAACAGAAGAAGGAAAGAUCUAUUAAGGAAGACACUGUCAGAUAUUAAAUUGCAACUAGAUAAACAUAACAAUGACUUAUUUAAAUCACAAAGUACAGCUAUUAAAUCUAUAAAAAAUAAUUUUGGUGAUACUGUCCAUGGUGAAAGGUAGAAAAGAGAAGUGAUCAGAGACCUUUGUGCUGAUGCAUUUAAAAAAAAUAGAUAUAGAUGCUGACUGUGUUAAUAUUCUGUCAAAACAUGUCCCUUUAUACAGCUCGCUGACCUUCACUGAUCUUAUUGGUAAUAUCAGAAAAGAUGACGUGGUGAAUGCAGUCCAACAGUUAAACUCUGGUAAAAGUCCUGGUCCAGACAAGACUGUCCACUGAGUUUUAGCAGUUGUAUAUAGAUGAUGUAAUUGACCUUCUUACUGUGGUGUUUAAUGAAGGUUUAAACAGCGGCUGUAUGGACUGCGGACUCAUUUUAUCAAGGUGUUUUAUUGUUUGUUGUAUAAAAAAGGUGAUGACACUGACUUGGAUAACUAUAGACAUAACUAUUAUGAAUACAGAUGAUAAGAUACUUGCUAAAAUAAUUAUAAGUAGAUUACACAAUAUGUUAGAAAAAAAUAUAGAUAAAGAACAAACCCGUGCAAAUAAAGGAUGACUUAUGUGGGAUAGUCUGAGUAUUCUUAGAGAAACUGUGUAUAAACCUGACAAAGGAUUUAUUAUUAUAGGUCUGGAUCAAAAGAAAGCUUUUGAUUACAUUUCCAGAGAUCAUCUCUGGGCUGUAAUGAAAACUUAUGGUUUCCCUGAUGCCUUUAUUCAUGUAGUUAAAUGUCUCUAUGUGAAGUGAAGUGUCUGUGUAAAUGUAAAUGGUGUUUUAACUGAGCCCUUUGAGGUCGAGAGAGGGGUCAAACAGGGCUGCCCUCUUAGUGCUGCCUUAUACAUUUUGGCCAUAAGCCAUUUAAUUAGAAUAAUCAACUCUGAGAGUUUAAUCUCUGGUACAUGUGGUGGCCAUCUGCCCAAGUUUACAGCAAUUGCCUACGCUGAUGAUGUCACUGUUAUUAUAAAAAGAAAAAGAAAAAAGAAAUGGAUGUGUUGACGAAUCAUUUAAAUCUGUAUGAACUAGCAUCUGGUGCUAAGUUAAAUCAUAUUAAAACAGGGAGUUUGGAUUGGAGAUGAGAGGAACAAACCUAACGUUAAUGUUCAAGUUGAUCAAGAAAUAACAAUUUGGGGUUUGACAUUCUGUAGUAAAGAUUGUAGUGAAAGAAACUGGGAGAAAAAACUGACUGAAUUCAAAGAAGUAAAAAAGUAUAAUAUAAAACUAGAGUCAACAUCAUCAAAACCAUCCUGUCCAAACUCUUCUUUCUGGCUAACAUCUUUCCUCCUUCGGAUAAAAUGAUAAUGAAAUUAAACAAACAGUGUGCUAAUUUAGUGUGGGGUACCACCAGAGAGGUAACUAAAAGAGAACUAAUGUAUAAAGGUAAGGAAUAUGGGGGGUUGGGGGCCGUAGACCUGGGCAUUGCAUUAAUGGUUGCUUUUGUUAAAAAUGUAUCAGCUGCCUUCCUCAGAAAUGCUCACUGGAUAGGUAAUAAAUCUUUGUGGAGUAAAAGGAGAGGGAGAGCCAGAUCUGGGUCGAAUUAUAAAUUAAUAUAUGCUGAUUAUCUAAUAGAACACCAAAAUUUGAAUAUUAAUUGGUGUAGUUCAUCCAGCAAACACAUUUUUAAUACAAUUAAUAAUUUUAAAUAUGGGGGGGCUAAUAAAAUAUAAAUACAUAUCUGAUAAUUAUAGCAAUGAAGUAAUAAAUAUAUUAAAAAAUAAAACCAUUCCAGAGAGCAUCAGAGACCUCAGAUGGCUGAUGUCAGUGGGCAGACUCCCAGUGAGAGCAGUUGUAUCAUGGAGUUGUUAUAUCACCACCAAAGAAUGUCCAAUGAUCAACUGUUCCGAGCCUGAAACCCAAGAACACCUGUUAAUAAACUGUUAUAGAGCACAAGAGAUGUGUAGCAUUUUAAAAGGUCUGGGCAUGAAUUUCAAUUUGUGUUAUAAAUUUGUUAUGUAUGGACUCUUUGUGAUCAAAGAGUCCAUACAUAACAGAUUGUAUAACAGAUGCCCCCAAAUCACAAAGAACUGUUUCAAAUAAUCGGCAGUGUUGUAUGUGCCAAGCUAUGGAAAACAAGAUGUGCCAUGAUUAUACAUCAGACCGUGAUAGACAGCGACCUGGUCGUUAAGCACAUACUCACAGACCUCUGGAGGAGGAAAACAAUGGACAGAUCUCAGCGCCUCCUCUGGCACAUUUUGGAUAUGUGACACUGACUGAAGGACAUUUCUCAUUUUCUCUCAUUAUGUGUCUCUCAUUUUGGUUUGUAUUGUUGUCUUAUAUCUAAUUUAUAUGUUGGUAAUUCUGAUGUUUGUACUUGUAAUUGAAAGUUAAUAAAGUUUAUUUAAAAAAAAGAAAAGAAAUAAGUCUGACCCCACUGGGUGCUAGCAGCCUGAAUCAAACUGCAAAUUACAACAGGACUGAAAAGAUCAACUCUUCUUCUCUGAAUUUGCAGGGUUAAUGAAAUCCAAGACCCUACUUAUUUGUAUAAAGUGGACAUAGAAAACUUUGAGGUGAGACUGUUUACCUUUAAUGGUACAGAUUGGGUCAAAGGUGGUUUGAUAUUCUUGUCAUAUUCAGUGCAUUUGUGUCUUCAUUUGCCCAGCAGUUUAAUUAAGUCCCAUGUUAUUUCUCCAGGGCAUGAAAAUCUUCCUCCUGAUUGUAGUUGCCCUCUAUGUCCUCUACCUGAUCUUCUUGGUUGUCAGAGCUUGUUCUGAACUCAAGAAUAUGCCUUACUCAGGUAUCACAAAAUACCAAACCUCUUCAUUUGAUUUAAGUCUGUUUCUUUAACCAUGAUAACGUAACAAGAGCAGCUUUGUAAUUGAACUUGUUUAAGAGUUUAAUUUAUUUCACUGGUAAGUGACGAUGUUUGAUAGUGUAUUAUCUGACUACAUGGAUGAAUGGAUUUUGAGAAAUGAUUUUACACAACUUAAUGUAAAUGGACUACUGAUUUGUCACAUUCUUUCUCCCUGCACAUACAGUAAUUAUACCAUUGGCCAAAUAUAUUUUGACUUAUGUAGAGCGUAUUAUUUUAAGUAGUUGUUUUUUUUUCCUCACAUAACUUUCCAUACCUUGCCUACAAUG